rnacentral:lncRNA from 1 species
AUGAAAUUGAAGAACAUAACAUCAAAAUCUACCACUUACCUGAUGCAGAAUCAGAUGAAAAUGAAGAUUUUAAAGAGCAGACUAGACUUCUCAAGGCUAGCAUCCCGUCCAUUCAGAGAUUGGAUCAAACUGGUUGGAUCCAAUCAGUUGAUUGAAGCCAAAGGAAAGAAGGAUCUCCAGGAGGUGACCCAGGACCUUCAUUAUGAAAACCUCCGUUCUGAGAGACUCAAGAGAGGCGGCAGGAAAGUGGAGAAUGAGGACAUGAAUAAAGACCAGAUCUUGCUGGAAAAAGAAGCUGAGAAAACACUUUCCUGGAUAAAAAAGAAAACAUUCCAGAUGCAUGAUCCAGCUGUGUGUUUUCAAUUCUUGGGAGGGUGCCAUUCACAUUUUAACAGUACCUGUGCCUGAGAAUUUAAUUUUUAAAAGACUUUUGAUGUUUUUUGUAUGAAGUACUUUUAACAUAUGUAUUUCAUUGCUGUGUUAUACUCUGCAUUUUGUGAGGUGAAUGUUUUCCUUUUCUUUCCCCCUAACCACUGUUAGAAUUGAUUUCCAAGACUCGGCAUGUAUACUUAAUACUGAAUUUCUUUGAUUUAACUGACUUAAAAACUUACUAACCAUUGAUGAGCACUCCUGAUUUAUAUCUAGAACAUUCAGAUUUAGCCAUAAUGUUCCUGAAUGGUAGAGACGUGUGCCUAGUGAUGUAGAAAGAUGCACUGACUUGGUGCAAGGGCAUCUACUUACCACAUCACACCACUUGGAGACUCUUUGCUUCCUUGCUUUUAUGUUUGUACACAACACCUAAAAUCAGUUUUGCUGCUAUAAUUCUAUACUGUUGAAUCGUCUGCGAUUUUAUCUGUUAACCAAACAAAACAUAAUAGAAUUUCCUAAUGAGAUAUAUCUUUAAACAGCUUUUUUAGAGGUGAGUUUUAAAGAAGUCUCUUAAUUCUGAUGCUAGGUUGUUUUUAAAACCACUAUGCAAAGAACUCACCACAAGCCACUUUUUGUAGUGUUCUCCACUAAUACUGGUUAUCCUGUGCUACAGAGAAAAUCAAAGUAUUCAUGAGCUCCAGUUUUUGUAUUGCAAAUAAGAGAUUGCUCUUUCAAAUGGUAGUUCUGCUCCUAGCUCUUCGAGGAAUUGCCAUACUGCUUUCCACAGUGGUUGAACUAAUUUACACUUCCACCAACAGUGUAUUAAUGUUCCUUUUCUCAGCAACCUCACCAGCAUCUGUUGUUUUUUG